UGGUUGGCUGUUUUGGAAUGUCACAC
rnacentral:piRNA from 1 species